rnacentral:lncRNA from 1 species
ACUUGCUAUUUACAGCGGCUUGUUCAGACCAGGAGGUACGGGGUAAAGAGAGAUUUGCUUUAAUAACGAGCAGGUGCUUAGAAUUAAUGCAGGGAAGGAAAAGCCUGUGAAGGGACCUGAGCGAGCCCGAAUCCAGGUCAAGCCUGAGGAGACGUCCAGCCAUGUACCACACAGGGCCAGAAGAUUGCCAAAGGCUCACAUUCAUGCUUGAGAAGCCAUGGCCCCAAGGCUGUGUAACCUUAUGGAUUGCAAAUCCUGACUCUGAAUCCUCAAACGGGCCCCCACAAGGUUAUCAGAUCCAGCACGCAUGUGGAGAAAGCCUGGCUUUUGUGAGAUGUCGAACUCUCAGCUCCUCCUGCACCAUGCCCGCCUGGAUAGCUCCAUGCUUCCCACCUUGAUGAUGAUGGACUGAACCUCUGAAAUGAAAAUGCAUGGACCCCCAGAGACAACAGACUCCAAAUUGAGAAAACUGCAUCAGAAAGAUAAAUGCUGGCCUCCAGCUAUUUACUGGGGCUCUAAAACUAUAAGGCUGCAAUCAUAGUAUUCCAGAAUGCCCAAAGCAUGUUCUUGUUUAAAAGCACUUUAAGAAUUUUACUCAAAUAAAAUCUGAAAAUGUAAAUAAUCUCA